rnacentral:rRNA from 1 species
UACGUAGGUGGCAAGCGUUGUCCGGAUUUACUGGGCGUAAAGAGCGCGCAGGCGGUUGAUUAAGUCGAAUGUGAAAGCCCCCGGCUCAUCUGGGGAGGGUCAUUCGAUACUGAUUGACUUGAAGGCAGGAGAGAGAAGUGGAAUUCCUGGUGUAGCGGUGAAAUGCGUAGAGAUCAGGAGGAACAUCAGCGGCGAAGGCGGCGAACUGGAUAGUAACUGACACUCAACUACGAAAGCGUGGGGAGCAAACAGG